AUGAUCCAUUGGCAAACCUGUUGAAAAGCAGGGACGCAAAGCUACGAGUCUAAGUGCUGAAGCAUAUUGACAGUCGGGUUGCACAC
rnacentral:ncRNA from 1 species